AGGCUCACAUGUACAUGUAAGCGCACUCCUUCCCCUGCUCGGUCCCCUGUGCGCGGAGCGGCGGCAGGGCCGGCGCGGAGCCGCGGCAGGGCCGACGCGGGUGUGGGGCGGCAGCGGGGCCGCGCGGGGCCUGCGCGGAGCAGCAGCUGGGCCGGCAUGGAGCGGCGGCGGGGCCGGCGCGGAGACGCGGCAGGGCCGACGCGGGUGUGGGGCGGCGUUGGGGCCUCGCUCCCUCCUUCCCUCCUCUUCCUCCUCCUCCGUCUGUCGGCCCCACGCGGCCACCACGCCGGAUCCGCACGGUUGGUGGGAGCGCACGGCGGGAGCUGCGGGCGGAGCCGCGAGGCCGCGACUUCUCUUCCCCGCGCCGUCUCCCUCGUAGCGUUAUCGCUCCUCGUGGAUGAAGCGAUGUAGGCAUGGAGGGCGUCCGCGAAUGAUGCGGCUAGAUCUGCAAUGGAGAACCUGGUGGCUGCACAGAAAUUGGAGAUGGCCCAUCCCGUUGAUUUUGAUUUCCCUCUACUCUUCAUGUUCCGGUAUGAUUGGUUUUGACGGAUGGCUCACAUCUUUAACUCUGGUCACAGGUUAUACAAGAAAAACUGGAUGGAGGUGGCCUCCCUAUUAUUGUUGGCGGCAUGCAUUUCUGUAUGAUGAAGUUCAUCUUAUAUUUAUUGACUGCACUAUCUGAUUUGUUGUCGUGCCUUUGCCCUUCAAUAUUCUAGGCCCUUAUUAGCCCAAUCACGAGUGCUAGGUUUGGGGGCACUAUAUUAAGUUAUGAAUUUCCGAUUAACAAAGAUUGUGAUUCAGCUGGCUAAAAUAUUUCUCUUAUUUCAGUCUAAUACACGUAACCGUGUCGAAAUAUAUGAUUCUAAUGCAGUUAAUCAAAUAUUAUAGGUUCAUGUUGCUCUUAGGUCAUUUAAUUUGUUAUCAGAAGUUUCUGUUUAUUAAUUAAUCUUGACAAUUUCUUGUGUGGACAGUUAUAUAAAAAUCUGAAAAAUGGUGCCACUGUGAGCUCAGGUUUCACGUUUAAUUACUAUAGCUUCAAAACAGAUAUUUUUCAUUUGGUGUGGUCAUUAAGAUAUAUUUGUCAUACCUAUAUAUUUCAUGGAGUGAUGCCUCUCAUAUCUUUCAGGC